UGAGGAUGUGAAAUGAGCGCUUUAAUGUGCCGAUAGCUUUUUCUUAGCCAGGGGUCAGGUAAAUACUGUUCAGAUCAGGUAAUGUGGCGGUAAUAUUUUGUAGAUCAUGUUUCUAUUAUUUAAAUGACAUUGUGCAAGGGAGGGAAUCACAUUGGCACAUGGAAAGGUUGAGCAGUGGAGGGAAAUGAUUUAAUGUAAUGGGAGGAAUAAAGCAUCAUUAGCGCAAAUUAACUAUUGUCAGCCGAGGUGAUCUUGUUGGGUGCUAAUGCCAUUGGCAGCCGCUGAAGGUGGCAAUUAACGCACAGGGGGUGGGGUGAAGUGAAGUGCACAUCGGCAUGCAUUUAGCGCCCAAUGGCAGCCGCGGUCACAGCCGUUCCAUUGGGUUUUGUCUCCUAGAGUUUAAGUAGUGCCAAGAUGAAGAAUGCCCAUGUUUAAUUCACGCCGUUUAUGUUUAACUUCAGGCCAGGAAUGGGCCGCAGUCCAUUAAUUAGUACCAAACGGCCGUUCAAAACAAGAUCUGCCUUGUACAGGUCACCCUUUUUCCCAGGUUUGAAUGGCUGCGGUUUUACCUCCGUCACCUGCCAAGUGUGGAGGAAAAGGCCAGCGGGCCGGAAUGGCCCCUGCAGGCUUACUGUAAGCACCGCGGGUCGCUGUGCCAAAAAAGCGGGGGAGUGAAGGAGAUGGAAGGACAAACACUAAUGUGAUAUGUGUCUGUUUCCUGACACCAGACAUCCAAAGCUGCAAAACAAAAGAUGACACAAAUACAGCGGAUGGAAGAGGAAAGAGCAGACGGAGACAUCGGCUUAUGGUUAACCUCUAAACCUGAGACACCGCAUAAAAUACAACACUGUUGACACAACCAGCUUCAGGAAGGAUAGGUCAAAACCUAGGCAUGGCCAACAAGGCUUUAGAAUUGACUGGACUGGAGGUAUCUUCAAUUUUAAAAUAUCUCAGAAGAGGUUUCAUGAGAUUGAUGGUUUAUUUAACCAAAACUGUUGAUUCUGUCAUAAUUUAUUCAUACUCACGUCAAAGGAG
ensembl:lncRNA